rnacentral:tRNA from 1 species
UCUCCUGUAGCUCAGUCGUAGAGCGUCCGACCGGUGUGCGGAAGGUCGUAGGUUCGACUCCUGUUGGGGGAA